GCUGGGCGUGGUGGCGGGUGCCUGUAAUCCCAGCUACUCGGGAGGCUGAGGCAGGAGAAUCACUUGAACCUGGGAGGCAGAGGUUGCAGUGAGCCAAGAUCACGCCACUGCACUCCAGCCUGGGUGACAGAGUAAGACCCUGUCUCAA
ensembl:misc_RNA Metazoa_SRP Metazoan signal recognition particle RNA